GAUGAAUGCUGGCGGCGUGCCUAACACAUGCAAGUCGAGCGGCAGCGAGGGGUGCUUGCACCCUGUCGGCGAGCGGCGAACGGCUGAGUAACGCGUAGGAAUUUGCCCCAAAGUGAGGAAUAACUGCCCGAAAGGGUAGCUAAUGCCGCAUAUGGUCUUCGGAUUAAAGGAUUUAUCCGCUUUGGGAGAAGCCUGCGUCGGAUUAGGUUGUUGGUAGGGUAAUGGCCUACCAAGCCGACGAUCCAUAGCUGGUCUGAGAGGAUGAUCAGCCAGACUGGAACUGAGACACGGUCCAGACUCCUACGGGAGGCAGCAGUGAGGAAUCUUCCACAAUGGGCGAAAGCCUGAUGGAGCAACGCCGCGUGAAGGAUGAAGGCCUUCGGGUUGUAAACUUCUUUUAUGAGUGAAGAAUAUGACGGUAACUCAUGAAUAAGCACCGGCUAACUACGUG
rnacentral:rRNA from 1 species